AUGCCAGCAAAUCUGGAAAACUCAGCAGUGGCCACAGGACUGGAAAAGGUCAGUUUUCAUUCCAAUCCCAAAACAAGGCAAUGCCAAUGCUCAAACUACCGCACAAUUGCACUCAUCUCACAUGCUAGUAAAGUAAUGCUCAAAAUUCUCCAAGCCAAGCUUCAGCAAUACAUGAACCAUGAACUUCCUGAUGUUCAAGCUGGUUUUAGAAAAGGCAGAGGAACCAGAGAUCAAAUUGCCAACAUCCGCUGGAUCAUGAAAAAAGCAAGAGAGUUCCAGAAAAAUAUCUACUUCUGCUUUAUUGACUAUGCUAAAGCCUUUGACUGUGUGGAUCACAAUAAACUGUGGAAAAUUCUGAAAGGGAUGGGAAUACCAGACCACCUGACCUGCCUCUUGAGAAAUCUGUAUGCAGGUCAGGAAGCAACAGUUAGAACUGGACAUGGAACAACAGACUGGUUCCAAAUAGGAAAAGGAGUACGUCAAGGCUGUAUAUUAUCACCCUGCUUAUUUCACUUAUAUGCAGAGAACAUCAUGAGAAAUGCUGGACUGGAAGAAACACAAGCUGGAAUCAAGAUUGCUGGGAGAAAUAUCAAUAACCUCAGAUACGCAGAUGACACCACCCUUAUGGCAGAAAGUGAAGAUGAACUAAAGAGCCUCUUGAUGAAAGUGAAAGAGGAGAGUGAAAAAGUUGGCUUAAAGCUCAACACUCAGAAAACGAAGAUGAUGGCAUCUGGUCCCAUCACUUCAUGGCAAAUAGAUGGGGAAACAGUGGAAACAGUGGCAGACUUUAUUUUUUGGGGCUCCCAAAUCACUGCAGAUGGUGACUGCAGCCAUGAAAUUAAAAGAUGCUUACUCCUUGCAAGAAAAGUUAUGACCAACCUAGAUAACAUAUUCAAAAGCAGAGAUGUUACUUUGCCGACUAAGGUCCAUCUAGUCAAGGCUAUGGUUUUUCCAGCAGUCAUGUAUGGAUGUGAGAGUUGGACUGUGAAGAAGGCUGAGCGAUGA
rnacentral:lncRNA from 1 species